rnacentral:rRNA from 1 species
AGAGAGCGGCGUACGGGUGCGGAACACGUGUGCAACCUGCCUUUAUCAGGGGGAUAGCCUUUCGAAAGGAAGAUUAAUACCCCAUAAUAUUUAAGAUGGCAUCAUUUUAAAUUGAAAACUACGGUGGAUAAAGAUGGGCACGCGCAAGAUUAGAUAGUUGGUGAGGUAACGGCUCACCAAGUCAGUGAUCUUUAGGGGGCCUGAGAGGGUGAUCCCCCACACUGGUACUGAGACACGGACCAGACUCCUACGGGAGGCAGCAGUGAGGAAUAUUGGACAAUGGGUGAGAGCCUGAUCCAGCCAUCCCGCGUGAAGGACGACGGCCCUAUGGGUUGUAAACUUCUUUUGUAUAGGGAUAAACCUAGAUACGUGUAUCUAGCUGAAGGUACUAUACGAAUAAGCACCGGCUAACUCCGUGCCAGCAGCCGCGGUAAUACGGAGGGUGCAAGCGUUAUCCGGAUUUAUUGGGUUUAAAGGGUCCGUAGGCGGAUCAGUAAGUCAGUGGUGAAAUCUCAUAGCUCAACUAUGAAACUGCCAUUGAUACUGUUGGUCUUGAGUAAGGUAGAAGUAGCUGGAAUAAGUAGUGUAGCGGUGAAAUGCAUAGAUAUUACUUAGAACACCAAUUGCGAAGGCAGGUUACUAUGUCUUAACUGACGCUGAUGGACGAAAGCGUGGGGAGCGAACAGGAUUAGAUACCCUGGUAGUCCACGCUGUAAACGAUGCUAACUCGUUUUUGGGCUUUCGGAUUCAGAGACUAAGCGAAAGUGAUAAGUUAGCCACCUGGGGAGUACGAACGCAAGUUUGAAACUCAAAGGAAUUGACGGGGGCCCGCACAAGCGGUGGAUUAUGUGGUUUAAUUCGAUGAUACGCGAGGAACCUUACCAAGGCUUAAAUGGGAAUUGAUCGGUUUAGAAAUAGACCUUCCUUCGGGCAAUUUUCAAGGUGCUGCAUGGUUGUCGUCAGCUCGUGCCGUGAGGUGUUAGGUUAAGUCCUGCAACGAGCGCAACCCCUGUUACUAGUUGCUACCAUUAAGUUGAGGACUCUAGUAAGACUGCCUACGCAAGUAGAGAGGAAGGUGGGGAUGACGUCAAAUCAUCACGGCCCUUACGCCUUGGGCCACACACGUAAUACAAUGGCCGGUACAGAGGGCAGCUACACAGCGAUGUGAUGCAAAUCUCGAAAGCCGGUCUCAGUUCGGAUUGGAGUCUGCAACUCGACUCUAUGAAGCUGGAAUCGCUAGUAAUCGCGCAUCAGCCAUGGCGCGGUGAAUACGUUCCCGGGCCUUGUACACACCGCCCGUCAAGC